rnacentral:rRNA from 1 species
UACGGGGGGGGCAAGCGUUGUUCGGAAUUACUGGGCGUAAAGGGCUCGUAGGCGGCCAACUCAGUCGGACGUGAAAUCCCUCGGCUUAACCGGGGAACUGCGUCCGAUACUGGAUGGCUUGAGUGUGGGAGAGGGAUGCGGAAUUCCUGGUGUAGCGGUGGAAUGCGCAGAUAUCAGGAGGAACACCGGUGGCGAAGGCGGGUCUCUGGGCAGUAACUGACGCUGAGGAGCGAAAGCGUGGGGAGCGAACAGG